GACGAACGCUGGCGGCGUGCUUAACACAUGCAAGUCGAACGAGCGGCGGACGGGUGAGUAAUGUAUGGGGAUCUGCCCGAUAGAGGGGGAUAACUACUGGGAACGGUGGCUAAUACCGCAUACUAUCGGAUGAACCCAUAGGGGAUUAGCUAGUAGGUGGGGUAAAGGCUCACCUAGGCGACGAUCUCUAGCUGGUCUGAGAGGAAGAUCAGCCACACUGGGACUGAGAAACGGCCCAAACUCCUACGUGAGGCAGAAGUGGGGAAUAUUGCAAAAUGGGCGCAAGCCUGAUGCAGCCAUGCCGCGUGUAUGAAGAAGGCCUUAGGGUUGUAAAGUACUUUCAGCGGGGAGGCGUUACCCGCAGAAGAAGCACCGGCUAACUCCGUGCCAGCAGCCGCGGUAAUUC
rnacentral:rRNA from 1 species